rnacentral:lncRNA from 1 species
ACAACUUGUACUGGGUUUUGGCACAUGAAUUGGGCCGUUCCUUUGGACUUUCUCAUUCUACUAACAUCGGGGCUUUGAUGUACCCCAACUACAUCUACACUGGUGAAGUUUAUCUGUCUCAGGAUGACAUCAGUGGCAUCCAGGCCAUCUAUGGGCCAUCUAAUAAACCACAGCUGGUCCCAGUGCCACAAAUCCCACAGCCCUGUGAUAACUGGGCUGUCUCUGACUGUCUGGCUGGAAUCAGCUCUCUACACUCUGCUGAGCGUUGAACAGCCCAGAGUCCAGACAGGGAAGGCCUCCCUUUCUGUGUGUGAGUGUGAUAACAGGAUAACAUUUGAUGCUGUUACCAAAAUUCUUGGGGAAUUGCUCUUCUUCAAAGACAGUUCCAAGAUUUUUCUACUUCUUUUAUGGAAAAGAGAAGUACAAACCUGAUCCUAAAAUCAAGCAAGUUUCUGUCCUCCUGAAUACUAACAGCUGGUUCAACUGCAGAAGUAACUGAUUGAUGCCUCAGUUGAUUGAUUGAUUCUCACAAAGGAGAUGGAAGAACUAUUUCUAACUCACCCAAGGAAGGUGAGUUUUCUGAGAAACCAGAUAUUUCAGUAUUUUAUUUGAAUCUCUAGGUAAUAACAAGGCGGCUGCUGCUGCUGCUAAGUCGCUUCAGUUGUGUCCGACUCUGUGCGACCCCAUAGAUGGCAGCCCACCAGGCUUCCCCGUCCCUGGGACUCUCCAGGCAAGAACACUGG